UGGGCAAACAGCUUGUCAUGAAGUCCCUGGGUGAUGCUGUGGAACUGCUCCCCACCAAGCUAGGCAGGACUUUGGGGAGCCUCCUCUCCCUUGGAGCAGACUUGUUCAGGGC